UCAAAGGUGUGAAAGGAAGAGAGAAAGAUUCUUUCUUGUGCAUAAAAAAUUAAGAAGAAAGAGUUCUUCCCUUGAUCUCUAUUAUAGAGAUCUGAUGUGUAGAUUUAGAAAGAAAAGGAGAGGGUCUUCUUAUUCUUCAUCUUUGUAUUUUCUCUUAGAUCAGCCAAUGCAUAGUAUAUUCACGAGCUAGCACUCCCGGG
rnacentral:lncRNA from 1 species